CAGGCUAAACGUCAUCAAUGAUUGACGUUUGUGAUUGUCAUAUUUCUGACAUUUCUUCAUAAAAUUCUUUUUUUCUCCAUAUUAAAACAAAAAUGGUGUGAGAGUGAACAAGGUUAGACCUUAAUGUGAUGCAAUGUUGUCGGAAUUUUUGAAAAUUAUAUAAUUCCAAUAUAAAUUUUCCGUGUGGUGCGUAAGUGGAAUCUCAGUAAUUAUGAAUCCCAAACAGAACGUAUUCGAAUAUAAAGAUGAAUCUCAAGCUGAACGGUUUGCAAGGAAGUCUAAGGAUUCGCCCUUUAUGAUUAUAGGUAUUGUAGGACUUAUAGGUGUAUGCAGUUAUGGUGUGUAUGCAUUCAA
rnacentral:lncRNA from 1 species